rnacentral:rRNA from 1 species
GACGAACGCUGGCGGCGUGCUUAACACAUGCAAGUCGAACGGAAAGGCCCUGCUUGCAGGGUACUCGAGUGGCGAACGGGUGAGUAACACGUGGGUGAUCUGCCCUGCACUUCGGGAUAAGCUUGGGAAACUGGGUCUAAUACCGGAUAGGAGCCAUCUUUAGUGUGGUGGUUGGAAAGUUUUUUCGGUGUAGGAUGAGCUCGCGGCCUAUCAGCUUGUUGGUGGGGUAAUGGCCUACCAAGGCGGCGACGGGUAGCCGGCCUGAGAGGGUGUACGGCCACAUUGGGACUGAGAUACGGCCCAGACUCCUACGGGAGGCAGCAGGGGGGAAUAUUGCACAAUGGGCGCAAGCCUGAGGCAGCGACGCCGCGUGGGGGAUGAAGGCCUUCGGGUUGUAAACUCCUGUCGCUAGGGACGAAGCGUUGUUGUGACGGUACCUAGAUAAGAAGCACCGGCUAACUACGUG